AUUGAACGCUGGCGGUAGGCUUAACACAUGCAAGUCGAGCGGGGUGAUGGUGCUUGCACUAUCACUUAGCGGCGGACGGGUGAGUAAUGCUUAGGAAUCUGCCUAUUAGUGGGGGACAACAUCUCGAAAGGGAUGCUAAUACCGCAUACGUCCUACGGGAGAAAGCAGGGGAUCACUUGUGACCUUGCGCUAAGAGAUGAGCCUAAGUCGGAUUAGCUAGUUGGUGGGGUAAAGGCCUACCAAGGCGACGAUCUGUAGCGGGUCUGAGAGGAUGAUCCGCCACACUGGGACUGAGACACGGCCCAGACUCCUACGGGAGGCAGCAGUGGGGAAUAUUGGACAAUGGGGGGAACCCUGAUCCAGCCAUGCCGCGUGUGUGAAGAAGGCCUUAUGGUUGUAAAGCACUUUAAGCGAGGAGGAGGCUCUUUUGGUUAAUACCCAAGAUGAGUGGACGUUACUCGCAGAAUAAGCACCGGCUAACUCUGUGCCAGCAGCCGCCGCGG
rnacentral:rRNA from 1 species